rnacentral:lncRNA from 1 species
GGGGGACUUCGUCCAGCUUUUAGACAUGCAAGACUAAAUGUGAAUACCAUCUAUACAAUGGAGAACUGGCCCCUGGCAAGCUCGCCCCAUGGCUGCACCUUUAAAGUUGUCUUCUCCAAGCGUGUGCUGGGCUGUCAGCAGCGUCACCCAGGAGCUGGAAGUGCAAAUGCUCAGGUCCUUCCCCAGACCUGCUAAAUCAGAGACUCAGAGGGUGGGCUCCACCCUUGUGUGCCCACAGCCCUCCAGGGGACUCCAGGGCUUGCUGCAGCCCUAGAAGCACUGCUCUAAAGCCAUACUAAUUAGCAUUAGAUGUAUAGUUCACAACAGCUUGUUCUGCUUCUAACCACUGGUCGGAGGGGUUGGGGCCUGAUUAUGUAACAGCAUAUGAUGACUCAUUAAUGAUGAGAGAUGUUCUCGUGUUUACCAAUAUCUUCAUAUCAGUUUGCCAAAGUAAUUCUUGAUACCACACCCAGAUGCUGGGAAGAACAGGGGCUUUGGGAACUGAAGCCCUCACAUUGACCUCCAGCCCUGUCAGUGCCCCAUGCAUCCCUGGGGUACCUUUCCCCAUCUGUGCAUGCUGUUCCUGGGUGCCGCUAUGACCCCCACAGCCAGUGCCAGCUUCUCUCUGUGAGCAGCUGUCCCAAGGCUGCUGGAGCCCUUGUGCUCACCCUGCUUGCAUGGGGGCCUGAGACAGUCCUUACCCAGUGAUGGGUGGAUGCAAGGGACGCAAGACAUCCCUCAGGUUCAAUGAUUCAAGAGAACUCAUAGGAACCAGAAAGGUCACCAGAUUCACGAUUACCUCUUACUACACAUGGUUCCAACACUACACAGCAAGUCGAAGUCAGCAGUGGGAAGAUGCACCUAGGGUGGGUCCCAGGAGAGCUCUAGCUGUGGUGCUCCAGUGUCCUCUCCUAGUGGGGCUCUGCAGCAGUGCUUAGUUCUCCCAGUAAUGACAUGGGGCAGCAUGCAUGGAAUAUUGCUGACCAGGGACACUGACCUGAGCCUUGGCGUCCAGGGUUUUUAUUGAAGGCUUGGUCACGUAAACAUGAUGGACAAUCUACAUGGCUGACCUGGUCUCCAGCCCCUUGACAGAUCAAGCUGAUACAAGACCUCCACUGUGAAUCCUAUCCUUAGCAUCAACUACCUGGUGUGGCCUAAGGCCUCGGUAAACAGACACUUAUCAGACAGGACAUUAGAGAUUAAAGGACUUAGAGGCUGCCUUCCAGGAGCUGUGCCAGGGCCACACCUUUCUUUGGGCAAGGUUAACCCUUUACUACUUGCAGAAUAUGAAUAUUCCAGCUCCUUCAUCGCCAGUGCGGCCUCUCUGGGGUGUGACCAGCCCUGACUCUGUCUCAGAACUCCCUAGCAGGAGGAAGCCAGAAGCACCCACGUGGUUCCUGGCUCACUUUUUUCACUCCCCAGUCCCACCUUUCCACUGUCUUGCCUCUUUUUGUUGUUGUUGUUCUGGGAACACUUUCUAAUAAAUCUUCACACAAAGACUUGUUUCAGAUUCUGCUUCCAGGGAUCCUAAAAUAGGACACUGUAAGAAUUUACAAAGUGAUACAUUUCCUGUAUUUCAUUAACCUGCUUAUGUGAAUUACUGUUAUUUUCAAACCUCAGAAAUUAGCUGCAGCUGCUCUUAAGAUUAAAUCUGGAGAAGCCAAGAUAGAACUUGGAGUUGAGUCUCGCAGUGGCAACCGGGUCUAAGGAAGGGUCACCUGGCUAGAGCUGGAGUUGACACCCAGCCGGUCCAGGAGGGGCCGCUCCCACCAGGGACUCCAAUCAGAGGUGAAGGGUCAGGGUGAGGAGAGAAAUGCUCUCACUUCCCUCUUCCUCUCACCUCCAUCUCUUGACAUCACUUCCCGUUGGAUGAACCUAAAUGGAAGCCAGUAGGCAAGAGAGCCUGGAAAACAGCGUUUGCAGGGGGCGGUUGUGAAAUGGAUCUAAAGGCAAACAACACGUGAUGGACA